AUCAUUAAACACACAGCCGCCAACAGUGCAAUGUGUCCUCACUAGCAUUCACACGCAAGCACAAAAACACACACACACACACACACACACACACACACACACACACACACACACACACACACACACACACACACACACACACA